UAACAACGUCAAAAAAUGAGCAAGGAAAAGAGAGAGAAAGAGAAGGCGAAGAAAAAAACAAUACUUACUUUGAAAUUACUCUCCAAUUUCUUUCCUUCUUCUUUUUAUGUUCACUCUCUCUCCCUCCCUCUCUCCCCUCAUGUCUU